CUACGGGACGCAGCAGUGGGGAAUCUUAGACAAUGGGGGAAACCCUGAUCUAGCCAUGCUGCGUGAGCGACGACGGCCCUAGGGUUGUAAAGCUCUUUCAGCAGGGAAGAUAAUGACGGUACCUGCAGAAGAAGUCCCGGCUAACUCCGUGCCAGCAGCCGCGGUAAUACGGAGGGGACUAGCGUUGUUCGGAAUUACUGGGCGUAAAGCGCGCGUAGGCGGAUUGUUAAGUCGGGGGUGAAAUCCCGGGGCUCAACCCCGGAACUGCCCUCGAUACUGGCAGUCUUGAGUUCGAGAGAGGUGAGUGGAAUUCCGAGUGUAGAGGUGAAAUUCGUAGAUAUUCGGAGGAACACCAGUGGCGAAGGCGGCUCACUGGCUCGAUACUGACGCUGAGGUGCGAAAGCGUGGGGAGCAAACAGGAUUAGAUACCCCCGUAGUC
rnacentral:rRNA from 1 species